rnacentral:rRNA from 1 species
GAUGAACGCUGGCGGCGUGCCUAAUACAUGCAAGUCGAGCGAAUGGAUUAAGAGCUUGCUCUUAUGAAGUUAGCGGCGGACGGGUGAGUAACACGUGGGUAACCUGCCCAUAAGACUGGGAUAACUCCGGGAAACCGGGGCUAAUACCGGAUAACAUUUUGAACCGCAUGGUUCGAACUUGAAAGGCGGCUUCGGCUGUCACUUAUGGAUGGACCCGCGUCGCAUUAGCUAGUUGGUGAGGUAACGGCUCACCCAGGCAACGAUGCGUAGCCGACCGGGGAGAGUGAUCGGCCACACUGGGGCUGAGACACGGCCAAGACUCCUACUGGAGGCAGCAGUAGUGAAUCUUCCGCAAUGGACGAAAGUCUGACGGAGCAACGCCGCGUGAGUGAUGAAGGCUUUCGGGUCGUAAAACUCUGUUGUUAGGGAAGAACAAGUACUAGUUGAAUAGGCUGGCACCUUGACGGUACCUAACCAGAAAGCCACGGCUAACUACGUGCCAGCCGCCGCAGUAA